rnacentral:lncRNA from 1 species
GUCAAGUCCAGCACGCUAACCACUGUAACAUGUUCUCUAAGCAAAUCUUGCUUCUGUAGAUUCCCUAAAAUGAUUUUUCACCCUUCCAGUGCAGGGCACUGAAAAAUUCAUGUAUUUGUGUUCUUACAUAGCCCUUUGACACAGCCGACAAAGAUCCUGACAGAUAAAUUGGUGUGGGCCUGUCUUUCUGGGACCUUCUUGCCUGAAAUUAUUUCAAGACCAGUUUUCUCAGCCAUAGAGUAUGUGAAGCAGAGGUCUGUAUCUUCUGCAGGUUGAUGUGCUCCUGUGCAACUGGAUGGGUCCCAGUUCAUGGCCCCAGGGCCAACACAGACUAUUAAUGUUUCAAUGAAUUACCUAAGGAGCACCAUGAAAAAAACACACCAUGGCACUGGCAAUUGUUUGAAGAAGGUCCUAAAUAUGCCUGGGUUUGGGAGUCUUGGCUUCUACUGGGAAUGAUACAAGAGGUCAAGGCUACUUGUAGUAAAUAAAUCCUGUUCUCUGCCACGAUUGUUAUUUGCUCAUUCAUUUUCUCUUCCCUUCAGUGUGUAUCUUUUUUUUUUUUUUUUUUGACUGAAUCUCGCUUUGUCGCCCAGGCUGGAGUACAAGUGGCACGAUCUCGGAUCACUGCAACCUCCACCUCCAGGGUUCAAGCGAUUCUCCUGCCUCAGCCUCCCAAGUAGCUGGGAUUACAGGCAUGCACCACUGCACUUGGCUAAGUUUUUGUAUUUUUAGUAGAGACGGGGUUUCACCAUGUUGGCCAGGAUGGUCUCGAUCUCCUGACCUUGUGAUCCGCCUGCGUCUGCCUCCCAAAGUGUUGGGAGUACAGGCAUGAGCCACUACGCCCAGCCUUCAGUAUAUAUCUUAAUAUACUUGCCUUACUUACUCACUAGUUCCUACCGUGAAAUAGGUGCUAGGGAUACAACCAUAAAUGAAACAUAGGCCCUGCAAGAAGCUUACAAUUGAGGUAUGAGAGACACAGGCAGGUAGGCAAUUAAGACAGGUGAUCAUUGCUACAAUUAGGAUACAGGACUCUUUAGCAUCACAGAUAAACUUUCUCAUGGGGGUAAAGACCACAAGGACAUCUCAAGGACAACUAAGAGUGAGCCAGGCAAAUAGUCAGGAAAGGAAAAUUCUAACCAAGAAUCCAACCUAGAGAUGAGAAGAAUAUAACCCAACUAAAAUGAGAGAGAGUGCUGUCACUUGGGGACUUAAGAAGUUGUCUAGCUGAAAUAUAGACAAUGAUGACAAUGGAGGAGCAGGGAAGGAGAGCAAGUACCAGAUUAAAAAGAGUCUUACAUUAGCCUAAAUUUACCAUAUCCGUGGGGAGCCAAGAAAGCCAAUGUACAAUGUCCUGGUCACAUUUGCUCUUUAGACAGGUCAUUCUGGUGGCAAUUAGAGAACAGGUUAGAGGGAGCCAAGAGGGGAGCAAGUUAAGCU